GAUGAACGCUGGCGGCGUGCCUAAUACAUGCAAGUAGAACGCUGAAGGAAGGAGCUUGCUCUUUCCGGAUGAGUUGCGAACGGGUGAGUAACGCGUAGGUAACCUGCCUGGUAGCGGGGGAUAACUAUUGGAAACGAUAGCUAAUACCGCAUAACAGUAGAUAUUGCAUGAUAUCUGCUUGAAAGGGGCAAUUGCUCCACUACCAGAUGAACCUGCGUUGUAUUAGCUAGUUGGUGAGGUAACGGCUCACCAAGGCGACGAUACAUAGCCGACCUGAGAGGGUGAUCGGCCACACUGGGACUGAGACACGGCCCAGACUCCUACGGGAGGCAGCAGUAGGGAAUCUUCGGCAAUGGACGGAAGUCUGACCGAGCAACGCCGCGUGAGUGAAGAAGGUUUUCGGAUCGUAAAGCUCUGUUGUAAGAGAAGAACGAGUGUGAGAGUGGAAAGUUCACACUGUGACGGUAUCUUACCAGAAAGGGACGGCUAACUACGUG
rnacentral:rRNA from 1 species